rnacentral:rRNA from 1 species
UACGUAGGGUGCAGGCGUUAAUCGGAAUUACUGGGCGUAAAGCGUGCGCAGGCGGUUUGCUAAGACAGGUGUGAAAUCCCCGGGCUUAACCUGGGAACUGCGCUUGUUACUGGCAGGCUUGAGUGUGGCAGAGGGGGGUGGAACUCCACGUGUAGCAGUGAAAUGCGUAGAGAUGUGGAGGAACACCGAUGGCGAAGGCAGCCCCCUGGGCUAACACUGACGCUCAUGCACGAAAGCGUGGGGAGCAAACAGG